AAGAAGCAGAAUCCUCGAGGCCCCCUUCCACUCCGCUCUCUCAAGAUAACAUGGCAACAGCAAGGGUCAAACUAAACGUACCCGAAGGAGUGAAUCUUGAGGACCCCAAAGUGAGCGAAGCCAUUUUAGAGCAGAUUCGGGAGCACCUCUCCAAGAACAUUGCAAUGGACGGUGUUAAUCUGCGCUGGAGAAAACAAGACGGGGAGAUAUUCCACAAGGAGGAA